rnacentral:rRNA from 1 species
GAUGAACGCUGGCGGCGUGCUUAACACAUGCAAGUCGAACGAUGAAGCCCAGCUUGCUGGGUGGAUUAGUGGCGAACGGGUGAGUAACACGUGAGUAACCUGCCCUUAACUCUGGGAUAAGCCUGGGAAACUGGGUCUAAUACCGGAGAGGAGCGUCCACCGCAUGGGGGGUGGGGGAGAGAUUUAUCGGUUUUGGAUGGACUCGCGGCCUAUCAGCUUGUUGGUGAGGUAAUGGCUCACCAAGGCGACGACGGGUAGCCGGCCUGAGAGGGUGACCGGCCACACUGGGACUGAGACACGGCCCAGACUCCUACGGGAGGCAGCAGUGGGGAAUAUUGCACAAUGGGCGCAAGCCUGAUGCAGCGACGCCGCGUGCGGGAUGACGGCCUUCGGGUUGUAAACCUCUUUCAGUAGGGACGAAGCGAGAGUGACGGUACCUGCAGAAGAAGCACCGGCUAACUACGUG